AGUUUAUUCCCUGUGUCAUCAUUAGCAGGACUCGUGGUGCUGGAGAAAGCUAUAGCAGUGGUGUCUGGCUGUGGGUAUUGACAUUUAUAGGCUCUUUUCAUUUUAUGAAGGCAUCACUAGCUGGGCCAACAUUUAUUGCUUGUCCUCAAGAAGAUGGUGGUAAGCUGCCUUCUUGAACCAUUGAAGUCCACUGUGGUCCACGUUCACCCAGCAUGUGAUGGGACGUCGCCAGAGCCAGAGCACGUGGCCCAAGUUCCGGAGCGGGAGCAGAGCAAGUCGCGACCGGAGCCUGGAACGUGGACCGAGUCGCGGACGGAGACAAGGGCCGAAUCCCAGAGUGGGCAUCAGAGCGAGUUGUGUGCCAAUUCCCAGAGUAGAGGCACAGCGAGUCGCGACCGUACCCAGGGUCAAGUACAGGCCAAAUUCCAGAGUGGGGAGCAGAGCAAGUCGCGAGUCGACUCCCAGAACGUGGACAGAACGAGUCGCCAGCCAAGUCCCAAAGCAGAAAUCAGAGCGAGUUGCGGACCAAGUCCCCAACUGUUUUCUCUCUCUUUGGACUCUAUCCCCACCUAUUUCCAGCAAUUUCUGUUUUUGAUACUAUUCUUGUUUGAAUUUAUACAGGUCCCAUCCUCCUUAGAAAGGAACUCAGUAAUCCAGGAAUCCGAGGCCCCAUUCUCUUCCUCCAAAUUGUCAGCAAUGUAUUCAUCGAUUCUGUCUGCCUAUUAGCACACCAUAUAGGGAGAAAUCUAGAGAUUACAACCUUUGACGUUCUUUUUAAAAAAUCUGCUCCCAAAAUUCUUAUUGCAGGAUCUCAUUCCUCUAUCUACCUAUGUUGUUGAUCCCAAUUGAACCAUGAGCUCUGACAAAUUGCCUACCCAUUCAGAAAACCAUGAAGCAGUUUCGUGCAAUCCAUGACCCUGGUCCCGGAGAGGCAACACACCAUCCUGAGUCAUGUCUGUGGCUGCAGGAAUGUCUAUCUGUACCUCCUUACUAUUGAAUCUCUUAACACUAUAGCACACUCUCUCAUUCUACUCCCAGUUUGUGCAGCUGGGCUCUGGUUGCACUCCCCAGAGGAACUGUCAGUUGUAUUUUUUUGCUCUGAUUAGCAUUUCUUCCUGGAUACAAACCCAUGUAAUUCAUGUUGCCAUGGGGAUAUGCUUUUAGGAUGGAACAGGUUAGAAUGCAACAGGUUACAGUAAACCAUUGUUGCAUCAGCUUAUUAGCAAUUGUUUAAACUCCUGGAACUGAACAGAAACACAAGUCUGUAAGACCCAGGGACAGAGGGAAUACACAAAGAGACAGAUGACCAGUCUCUGUUGUCCAACACAUAGAAUGCAGCCAGGACUAAAUUCAUGGAGAUUUAAAUGAGACUACUAAAUUUGUCAAAAUUUGAUUAGAGAGAGGAAUCUACAGGUUAACUCUCACUAGGAGGGCCAGUUUGGGGAUUAGAAAUUUUCUGGCUGGGAAAAGGAAAUCGAAACAAGCCUUCAGAAGAUAUGAAUCAAUUUCAACCAGCUUCCUGAAAAAUGAAGUAUUACUGCAACAUGGAAUUUUCACACAGAUGAAUAGUUGCAUGGGGGAUGUUCAAAGAAUCAUAGAAUCGCUACAGUGUGGGAGCUGGUCAUUCAGCCCAUUGAGUCCACACUGACCCUCUGAAGAGCAUCCUGCCCAGACCCAUCCCCUAUCCUAUCCCUGUAACUCUGCAUUUCUCAUGGCUAAUCUAGCUAGCCUGCGCAUCUCUGGACACUAUGAGCAAUUUAGCAUGGCCAAUCCACCUAAAUUGCACAUUUCUCCUGUUGCAGGAAACCAGAGCACCCAGGCAAGCUCCACGCAGUCACCCAAGCGUAGAAUCGAACCUGGGUUCCUGGUGCUGUGAGGCAGUAGUGUUAACUACUAAACUGUAUAAGUUCUGACUGUAACAGUAUUUAGGAAAUCUUACAUUUAGUUUGAUUUUACAGUAAAAGUCUUAAAAUACUUUGAUGCUUCCAGAUAGUCACUGGAAAGAUGUAAAUCUAAAAGUUACGUGCCUCUUCAGAGAUCAUAAAAAUAAAAAUGUUAACAGAGCCAUUUCGACAGGGACUGUUUCCACACCAUAGGGAUCCUACGGAAGUUAAAGAGAUUCCAGUCAGACCAAUACAAUUUAAAACUGUAUUUCAAAUUCAUUAUGAUAGAACUGCAAAUCAUAUGGUUGGCCUUUAAAGGUAUAAAUGAUGCUGACAAUUUUAGAAUAAAUGGCAACUUGGACGUUAAACACCAGUGAGCAUACCAGCAUUUCAAUUAUGCUACUGACUAAUUUUGGAAAUACAAUGUCAAACUCUGUGAAAAAUACAGUUUGUAUAUAAUAGAAUUUCUUGUUCCUUGUUCAAACCUAUGCCUUCUGAAAAGUCAAGGAGAAUUGACAGGAAACUUGUGCAGAAGCCACAUUUUUAAUAUAUUGUAAGGGGAGGACCAAUGGCUAACAAUGGUUUUCCAAGCAGUUUUCAUAUUUCAGUUCACAUUCAGUCACACUUCAAAUGACUGAGUUUAUUUAUAUCAUAGUUAAAAUGUAAGCAUGAUCAAAGCUUCAGUGUUUGUAAAUAUGUAAAACAAAAUUACCAGUUUU